GCUCUCACUGCCGCACUUUCCCUUUUCCCCAUUUUGCCGCCGCAGCCGAGGAGAAAAUGACUACCAGAUUCAAGAAGAACAGGAAGAAGCGUGGUCACGUCAGCGCCGGACAUGGUCGUAUCGGAAAGCACAGGAAGCAUCCAGGAGGAAGAGGUAACGCCGGAGGUAUGCACCAUCACAGGAUCCUUUUCGACAAGUACCAUCCUGGUUACUUCGGUAAAGUAGGUAUGCGUUAUUUCCACAAGCUUCGUAACAAAUUCUAUUGCCCUACUGUCAACAUCGACACUCUAUGGUCUCUCCUUCCUCAAGAGGUGAAAGACAAGGCUGCUGCCAAUAAGGGUACUGCCCCGUUGAUUGAUGUUACCCAAUUUGGGUAUUUCAAGGUUUUGGGUAAAGGUGUUUUGCCUACGGGACAGCCUGUUGUUGUUAAGGCUAAGUUGGUCUCAAAGAAUGCAGAGAAGAAGAUCAAGGAAAAUGGUGGUGCUGUUGUUCUUACCGCCUAGAUUUGAUUUGAGUUGUUAGUUACUUUUUUUUGUGUUAAAGUUACUGUUUUUGGAUUAGUUAAUGGAGAUUUGAACUUGGAAUUGUUUGAAAUACUUUUUACAACAAAUUGGCGUAUAAUUUUUUCUGGAUCCUUGACUCUCU
rnacentral:misc_RNA from 1 species